CCUACGGGUGGCAGCAGUGGGGAAUAUUGCGCAAUGGGCGAAAGCCUGACGCAGCGACGCCGCGUGAGGGAUGAAGGUCUUCGGAUCGUAAACCUCUGUCAGCAGGGAAGAACGGUCACUGUGCUAAUCAGCAGUGAAUUGACGGUACCUGCAAAGGAAGCACCGGCUAACUCCGUGCCAGCAGCCGCGGUAAUACGGAGGGUGCGAGCGUUAAUCGGAAUUACUGGGCGUAAAGCGCUCGUAGGCGGUUUUUUAAGUUAGUGGUUAAACGUCGGGGCUUCACCUUGAUUUGCCAUUAAUACUGUAAGACUCGAGUUCAGACGAGGUAGGCGGAAUAAGUUAAGUAGCGGUGAAAUGCUUAGAUAUAACUUAGAACUCCGAUAGCGAAGGCAGCUUACCAGACUGCGACUGACGCUGAAGCACGAGAGCGUGGGUAGCGAACAGGAUUAGAUACCCCGGUAGUC
rnacentral:rRNA from 1 species